rnacentral:snoRNA from 1 species
ACCUUCCAGAUUCCUUACCUGUCAGAUCUAAACACUGGUCUCAGUGGUUAUAAAAGGACAAAAAGUAAUAUUGAAACUGGCUUAAACUCUUCCAUGACAUGAGCUCAUUCCAAAUAUCA